GGAUAUGAAGAUUGACAAUUGUCGCCCCAGGCUUAAUUUGCAUCUAUAAUUAGUUGCAACGUGGUGAUUGACACUUUAAAAUUCUGAUCC